CGAAGAGGGCAAGUUAAUGGAGGAGAUGAGCGACGAGGACGAAGAGGACGACGAGGAGGACGAGGAGGACGAGGAAGGUGGGAAGCGUGAGAAGCGCGGCGCCGGUCGCUGGAGGCACCACAAGAGGAGGAAGGCGGGCCUCCACGGACUCUUCCAGCUGUCCGACAGGUUGUUCUGCUCCUCGGGUUCCGGCCGGUCCCUCAACCUGUGCAACACUUCCUGCGAAGCCUUCACCGACGACGACAUCACGGAUGACAUCGACUGCUUUGUGAAGACUCGCGCCUGGUGGCGUUUAGUGAAGAGGAGGUCUCACAAGUGUUACGGAAGCAGAACCCAGGACUACUUCAGCAAAUGUCCCGCGCAAACGAUGUUUUGAGACGCUCUUCACCGCUUUUUCAUGAAUGAAUCUGCUGUUUUUCCUUUAAAAAUCAUUCGUUUCAGUUUCGUUCGUGGGUGAAUAUAUAACGAGUUUUGAUGAUAUUGUUUUUUAAUCCUUAAAAAAAAAUACUUUGGUUUGGAGAAAUAAAAAAAAUAUGAUUCUUGUAAUCUUUUUUUGGGAUCUAACAAUAAACAUGUAUUUCUGCAUGUUUGGGUUUUUAUGAACACUGACAACACACAGUAAUAAUACAAAAAAUCUGCAACGCUUCUCUCGUUUCAGGAAUUGAACUUGUGACCUUUUUUUGACCCGGUUUCCCAGUUCAAGGAUAUAAAUAUAGACAAUAUUUGAAUUACAAUAGCAUAUAAACAAUAAAGUAUAAAACAAUAGAUAAUAAAAUGCAGUAUUAAGAUUGAGAAUUAAAUUAUAUUUAGAAUAGUAAUUACACUUUAUAUACAUGGAAGGAAAUACAAUUACAAGUAGUUUGAGUGUUUUAAAUGAUCGUGUACAUUUGGGAAUGAGGGUGGUGGGAUGUUUAUUUUUUUUAAAUGUUAUAUCACACUUAAUAUUGAGACUCAACAGCAGUUUUUGACCCAGGAAAUGAAAUAGAAAACUUUUUCUCACACAAACAGUUAUUUUAUGAUGUGCCUGGAGAACGACAGUCACAGAUUAAAAUUAAAUUAAAUUAAAAAAUAAUAAUAAAUCUCUAGAUCCACAGCAAAAAACGCCUCAUCUCAUCUAUUUAUGACCCGAUUAACUCUUUGAAUUCAAACAUUGUUGCUCAGACAAAUUAAAUUAAAUUAGCUGAAUCCACGAUACUGAUGCUGGAUGACCCCGGAUGACCCUCAAUGUCAGAGAGCCUGGAAAUCUAGAGCCUGAACUUGUGUACUUAUGCUUAUAAAUCUGUGCAGAACUGCAACAAGGAUAAAGGAAAGUUUAAUAAAAGAGCCUGAAACUACUUGUUCUCCUCGCUGCUCCCUUUCCUCGGGCUUUAACUCGAUCCCUGUGCUCACAUUCAACACACACUGUGUGUGUUCA
rnacentral:lncRNA from 1 species